rnacentral:rRNA from 1 species
AGCGUACACGGUGGAUGCCCUGGCAGUCAGAGGCGAUGAAGGACGUGCUAAUCUGCGAAAAGCGUCGGUAAGGUGAUAUGAACCGUUACAGCCGGCGAUGUCCGAAUGGGGAAACCCAGUGCAAUUCGUUGCACUAUCGUUAACUGAAUACAUAGGUUAACGAGGCGAACCGGGGGAACUGAAACAUCUAAGUACCCCGAGGAAAAGAAAUCAACCGAGAUUCCCCCAGUAGCGGCGAGCGAACGGGGAGCAGCCCGGAGUCUGAAUCAGCUUGUGUGUUAGUGGAAGCGUCUGGAAAGUCGCAGGGUACAGGGUGAUACUCCCGUACACUAAAACACACAGGCUGUGAACUCGAAGAGUAGGGCGGGACACGUGGUAUCCUGUCUGAAUAUGGGGGGACCAUCCUCCAAGGCUAAAUACUCCUGACUGACCGAUAGUGAACCAGUACCGUGAGGGAAAGGCGAAAAGAACCCCGGCGAGGGGAGUGAAAAAGAACCUGAAACCGUGUACGUACAAGCAGUAGGAGCCCACUAGUUGGGUGACUGCGUACCUUUUGUAUAAUGGGUCAGCGACUUAUAUUCUGUAGCAAGGUUAACCGUAUAGGGGAGCCGCAGGGAAACCGAGUCUUAACUGGGCGUUAAGUUGCAGGGUAUAGACCCGAAACCCGGUGAUCUAGCCAUGGGCAGGUUGAAGGUUGGGUAACACUAACUGGAGGACCGAACCGACUAAUGUUGAAAAAUUAGCGGAUGACUUGUGGCUGGGGGUGAAAGGCCAAUCAAACCGGGAGAUAGCUGGUUCUCCCCGAAAGCUAUUUAGGUAGCGCCUCGUGAACUCAUCUUCGGGGGUAGAGCACUGUUUCGGCUAGGGGGUCAUCCCGACUUACCAACCCGAUGCAAACUACGAAUACCGAAGAAUGUUAUCACGGGAGACACACGGCGGGUGCUAACGUCCGUCGUGAAGAGGGAAACAACCCAGACCGCCAGCUAAGGUCCCAAAGUCAUGGUUAAGUGGGAAACGAUGUGGGAAGGCCCAGACAGCCAGGAUGUUGGCUUAGAAGCAGCCAUCAUUUAAAGAAAGCGUAAUAGCUCACUGGUCGAGUCGGCCUGCGCGGAAGAUGUAACGGGGCUAAACCAUGCACCGAAGCUGCGGCAGCGACACUAUGUGUUGUUGGGUAGGGGAGCGUUCUGUAAGCCGUUGAAGGUGGCCUGUGAGGGUUGCUGGAGGUAUCAGAAGUGCGAAUGCUGACAUAAGUAACGAUAAUGCGGGUGAAAAACCCGCACGCCGGAAGACCAAGGGUUCCUGUCCAACGUUAAUCGGGGCAGGGUGAGUCGACCCCUAAGGCGAGGCCGAAAGGCGUAGUCGAUGGGAAACAGGUUAAUAUUCCUGUACUUGGUGUUACUGCGAAGGGGGGACGGAGAAGGCUAUGUUGGCCGGGCGACGGUUGUCCCGGUUUAAGCAUGUAGGCGGAUGUUCCAGGUAAAUCCGGAACGUCACUAACGCUGAGGUGUGAUGACGAGGCACUACGGUGCUGAAGUGACAAAUGCCCUGCUUCCAGGAAAAGCCUCUAAGCAUCAGGUAACAUCAAAUCGUACCCCAAACCGACACAGGUGGUCAGGUAGAGAAUACCAAGGCGCUUGAGAGAACUCGGGUGAAGGAACUAGGCAAAAUGGUGCCGUAACUUCGGGAGAAGGCACGCUGAUGGUAGGUGAAGUGACUUGCUCAUGGAGCUGAAAUCAGUCGAAGAUACCAGCUGGCUGCAACUGUUUAUUAAAAACACAGCACUGUGCAAACACGAAAGUGGACGUAUACGGUGUGACGCCUGCCCGGUGCCGGAAGGUUAAUUGAUGGGGUUAUCCUCGCGGAGAAGCUCUUGAUCGAAGCCCCGGUAAACGGCGGCCGUAACUAUAACGGUCCUAAGGUAGCGAAAUUCCUUGUCGGGUAAGUUCCGACCUGCACGAAUGGCGUAAUGAUGGCCAGGCUGUCUCCACCCGAGACUCAGUGAAAUUGAACUCGCUGUGAAGAUGCAGUGUACCCGCGGCAAGACGGAAAGACCCCGUGAACCUUUACUAUAGCUUGACACUGAACACUGGUCCUUGAUGUGUAGGAUAGGUGGGAGGCUUUGAAGUGUGGACGCCAGUCUGCAUGGAGCCAUCCUUGAAAUACCACCCUUUAAUGGCUGGUGUUCUAACGUGGGCCCGUGAUCCGGGUUGCGGACAGUGUCUGGUGGGUAGUUUGACUGGGGCGGUCUCCUCCUAAAGAGUAACGGAGGAGCACGAAGGUCAGCUAAUCCUGGUCGGACAUCAGGAGGUUAGUGCAAUGGCAUAAGCUGGCUUGACUGCGAGCGUGACGGCGCGAGCAGGUGCGAAAGCAGGUCAUAGUGAUCCGGUGGUUCUGAAUGGAAGGGCCAUCGCUCAACGGAUAAAAGGUACUCCGGGGAUAACAGGCUGAUACCGCCCAAGAGUUCAUAUCGACGGCGGUGUUUGGCACCUCGAUGUCGGCUCAUCACAUCCUGGGGCUGAAGUAGGUCCCAAGGGUAUGGCUGUUCGCCAUUUAAAGUGGUACGCGAGCUGGGUUUAGAACGUCGUGAGACAGUUCGGUCCCUAUCUGCCGUGGGCGCUGGAGAAUUGAGGGGGGCUGCUCCUAGUACGAGAGGACCGGAGUGGACGCAUCACUGGUGUUCGGGUUGUCAUGCCAAUGGCAUUGCCCGGUAGCUAAAUGCGGAAGAGAUAAGUGCUGAAAGCAUCUAAGCACGAAACUUGCCCCGAGAUGAGUUCUCCCUGACUCCUUGA